GCUUUGCUUAAACUGGACCCUCCAUUACACACACACACACACUCUCUCUCUUUUCCCUUUUCUUCUUUACCUGUGAAAACGUGCCCUUCCACUGUACAUUAAAGGGAAACAUGCAUGCGGGAAUAUAAAGAUCUUAGAGUCUCCACUGUAAAAUAAUACCUGCUUCUUCCCCCCCUGCUAUCUUCCCAUGUUUCUUGCUUUCAAUAACGGUUUAAGGACGAUGCCAAUCAACAUUCUUGCUGCAAUGGAGAAGCCACGGAGAGAUUUCUCUUUCUUGCAGUCUUUUGGAAUGGGAAGCUCUGUUUUGAUCGUUCGAACAAUGGUUCGAAAAUUUAGACGUCCUUGUAAGCAGAGGGUUAUAAGAGUUCUUUGAUGAUCUCAUACUUUUCAAAGGGGAAUUCAGCAUCCUGGUCCGAUUCAGUGAAGAGUUCUUUCAUUUGUCAUCCUCAAAACAUGCACACUUGAGUUUCUACUUCUCUUUCUUUCUCUCUAUCAAUUAUGAUCUAUUAUCAGAUCUGUAGUAGAUUAUUUAUAGUUAUGUUAUUUCGCAAGUGUUUUGUUUAUAUCAGAUAUAUAUUAAGGUUUUGAGUGUAAUUUCUCUGCAUGCAUGUCUGCAUCUGCAGCUGAUUGAUGUAAUAAAAGUUUCUUUCCCA